rnacentral:tRNA from 1 species
GGGGAUGUAGCUCAACUGGUUAGAGCACUGGCCUGUCACGCCAGAGGUUGCGGGUUCGAAUCCCGUCAUCCUCG